CAGCUGCUCAGGCUUUCCUUGUUCUCCCAGCAGCAGGGCAGGGCUCUUCCUUCUGCUGUAGGCAGCAGCCUGCUGACCUCGUCAUUUGCCCCGACCUGCUGAAACAGGCAAAUUUCAUCUGCCAGUCUUACUGGGAGUCUCACCCAACAACUUCACUCUACGAGUCUGCCGGGAAAUAAGCUUUAAAUGCUGAGGUCAAAAUGAUGCAUUCAGACUGGUUUUUAGAAACUGUUUCAUUGGAAAUAUACACUAAAGCUUCCUGUCCCCUAGAGAAAUGUAUGCCAGUACAGAUGCAUAGGAACACUUCACUGGCAAUAAAUAGCAAUGGAAAAAGAUGAGAUGUUGCUUCAAUCUGUCCUAUUUCACUUGAAACCCUUCUAAUGCUCUGUAGAUGCUUUGAAGAGGAUAACACCUCACUCUCUUAAGAAAUUGUGCUUUAAACUUCUCAAGGGUUAAACAAUUUCCUGUGCCACUGUUUGCAUUCAUGGAAGCAUGUAAUUUGGUUUUCAUUAUUUGUGCUGGCAGAAAUUAUCUGGAGUUUCCCAAGCCUGUAGAGAGCAAGACUACAGUGCAGUUCCUAAAAAGCAAUAAAGAAGGCUUUUUCUUCCUUUCCCCCUUCCUCACUCAGCCAAGGAACUUAUGAAAUUUGUCCUUUUCCAAAAGUGAUGAGCAACAUGGAAGAGCUGCAUAUUGUCCCACAAAGGGAAAGUCAUUAAAUAACGAAAGACUGAGGUCAUGCCUGUCUUGAGAAUGACUGCAUAGUACAAAAAUUAAUAGACUGAUUUAAACAAAAUGAGCAUGAAGCAGCAGUAUAUUUCCAUAUGCUAAACACUGAGCUUACAUUUUGGUGAAGAAAGACAAAGCAGAUAUUACCUGAUUUGCCAUGAGGGCACCCAAUUUACCUGUGAACUCCAGAGUCAAUUGCCUGACCAAACGUAACAUGGAGACACCUUUAGAAGGAGAGUUGUUAGAGCCCCUGCUUAUCCCAUGGAUAUGACAGAUAAUAAGUCAGGAGCUUUCUGCAACUUCAGGAUUCUGUCAAUGUUUGUUCAUGCAAGAAAAUCUCUCCUGAUUUCUGAUAUAUACUUGUCCCUUUACUGUCUGGAUCAACUACUUUGUAAAUAUUAUGAAACAAGGCUUUCACAGCUUUUGCUGCCAUUUCUUUAAAAGGCUAUGUAAGGCUUCCACUGCAAAGCACAGUGCAUUUUGGAGUUUGUUUCAUUUAAAAUAAACCAUAACAAUAAAAAAAAAAAAAUCCUGCAGGACCAGUCCUAUCUCCUCCCUGAAACUAGAGCUCUGUUGGAACUUGAAUACAAGUGCUGGUGAAGAGAGUGAAGUUCUGGGGUGGCUGCACGAUGGCAGUAAGGAAUAUCAACAGAGGAUGACUUGUGCUAGAAGUGUUGAGCUGAAAAGAAAGGGAUGAACUUGGGUGGGUGCAUAGAGUUGACCUCAGCCCCUCUGACAUUCACACUGGGCCUAUCAAUAUGAUAUCAGCUGAUUCAACAAUAACCAGUACAGAAACUGGGCUUUGUCUGGAGAAUCUUCUGCUCAGGUGCAUGCUGAAGAUGUGGUCCAAGCUCUGUGCAUGGCUGCAUUUUUUCUGUGGGUGUAACUAGUUUUAUUUCACAGUGUAAGUAUGAGGGUUAAGCGUGUUCCCAAGGAGACAGAAAUGUCCACAUUUUUUAUUUCUGUCUAUGUCAUCUCAUCUCUAAAAUUCACAGUAAUCCCAAGACAGAUGAUUCUUACAUGGAAAGCAUCCCUCCACCCCUCCCUACAAAUGGAGCACGUAGUCUGUGAGUGCACUGAGGAGAGCUUCAGUGACUGGUGAGCUCAGUACACACAUCCUUGGGAGACGGAGUUCAGCAACGUAUGGUUUUGGCUGGAGGAAAAAAGGAACAAAGACUAUUCCCUGGGAGCAGCUCUCAGCACACCACUGCAUCUGUUCAAGGCUUCAAGGCAGGACAGAAGAGAUCAAACUACAUUAUUCACCUGGAAGAAUGAUCUGAGUGCUGGAGCAUGGUUAAACCACAGGUAUUCCACACUUGUGGAAUAGCCUGUCUACUUUAUACUGGAUGGUUGUGACACCUAAAGAAAGAGUGGGAUUAAGGUCUCCACUCCUCCCAUACAAAAGUUAAGUGCUCUCUUAUAUUACCUGUUAUAUAAUGUGACAGGACUGACUGACAUAUCAUCCACUGAUAUGGUUACCAUGGUUUUCUGAGCAGAGCAGGCCUGGACAUCCAAUAUGGGAUGACAGUCAGAAGAAAACAUUUUAUUGCACCACAAGCCCUUUCAGUGAAGAGCCCGAGGCUGGCUGACACAUGUGUAUGGGGCAAAGAAGUUAAUGAGUACUGGAAUAAAAUCAGAGGAGAUUGGCAUUUCUUGGCAGAUGGGAUGUUGGUGGGAGGGUAGAGGAGGCAGGGGGAAGAGACUUUUUUUGUGUCAGCUUAUCUUUGAUUUGGUGAAAUUGCCAGGUGACUUCAAGGGAGAAGAUGCACAAUGUUCCUUUGUUCUUUCCACAGCUACUGCUUCUCUAACCUGCACAUACAAUAGGACAAAGCUGGUUUGUAUAAAACAACAGUUGCUACCU